UACGUAGGGUGCGAGCGUUAAUCAGAAUUACUGGGCGUAAAGUGUGCGCAGGCGGCCGCGCAAGUCGAGUGUGAAAGCCCCGGGCUUAACUUGGGAAUUGCGCUCGAAACUACGUGGCUGGAGUGUGGCAGAGGAAGGUGGAAUUCCACGUGUAGCGGUGAAAUGCGUAGAGAUGUGGAGGAACACCAAUGGCGAAGGCAGCCUUCUGGGCCAACACUGACGCUCAUGCACGAAAGCGUGGGGAGCAAACAGG
rnacentral:rRNA from 1 species